GAUGAACGCUGGCGGCGUGCCUAAUACAUGCAAGUCGAGCGAACAGACGAGGAGCUUGCUCCUCUGACGUUAGCGGCGGACGGGUGAGUAACACGUGGAUAACCUACCUAUAAGACUGGGAUAACUUCGGGAAACCGGAGCUAAUACCGGAUAAUAUAUUGAACCGCAUGGUUCAAUAGUGAAAGACGGUUUUGCUGUCACUUAUAGAUGGAUCCGCGCCGCGUUAGCUAGUUGGUAAGGUAACGGCUUACCAAGGGGACGAUGCGUAGCCGACCUGAGAGGGUGGUCGGCCACACUGGAACUGAGACACGGUCCAGACUCCGACGGGAGGCAGAAGCAGGGAAUCUGCCGCAAUGGGCGAAAGCCUGACGGAGCAACGCCGCGUGAGUGAUGAAGGUCUUCGGAUCGUAAAACUCUGUUAUUAGGGAAGAACAAAUGUGUAAGUAACUAUGCACGUCUUGACGGUACCUAAUCAGAAAGCCACGGCUAACUACGUG
rnacentral:rRNA from 1 species